UCCGGUUGAUCCCGCCGGACCUUACUGCUAUCGGGUUGAGACUAAACCAUGCAAGUCGAGCGUUUUCAAGCUAUGUUGAAAGCGCGGCAUAAGGCUCCGUAACACGUAGUUAACCUACCCUCAGGAUGGAGAUAACCCCUGGGAAACUGGGACUAAUAUCCAAUAAAUGAUUAUGCCUGGAAUGGUUUAUCAUUGAAAGGGCUGAAUACAUGCUUUCAGUAUCACCUGAGGAUGGGACUGCGUCCGAUCAGGUUGUUGGCGGGGUAACGGCCCACCAAGCCUAUAACCGGUACGGGCCCCGAGAGGGGGAGCCCGGAGAUGGAAACUGAGACAAGGUUCCAGGCCCUACGGGGCGCAGCAGGCGCGAAACCUCCACAAUGCGCGAAAGCGUGAUGGGGUUAGCCCGAGUGCUGUCCGAAAAGGAUGGCUUUUCCUUGGCGUAAAAACCCGGGGGAAUAAAGGGGGGGCAAGACUGGUGUCAGCCGCCGCGGUAAUACCAGCCCCCUGAGUGGUAAGGACGAUCAUUUGGCUUAAAGCGUCCGUAGCCGGCUUAGUGAGUCUCUUGUUAAAUCCAAUGAUUCAAUCAUUGAACUGCAAGAGAUACUACUAUGCUAGAGGACGGGAGAGGUCGACGGUAGUCCAAGGGUAGGGGUGAAAUCCUAUAAUCCUUGGAGGACCACCAGUGGCGAAGGCGGUCGACUAGAACGUGCCUGACGGUGAGGGACGAAAGCUGGGGGAGCGAACCGGAUUAGAUACCCGGGUAGUCCCAGCUGUAAACGAUGCGGGCUUGGUGUAGGGGCAGCUACGAGCUGCUCCUGUGCCGCAGAGAAAUUGUUAAGCCCGCCGCCUGGGGAGUACGAUCGCAAGAUUGAAACUUAAAGGAAUUGGCGGGGGAGCACCACAAGGGGUGAAGGC
rnacentral:rRNA from 1 species